rnacentral:tRNA from 1 species
GCCCUCAUCGUCUAGGGGCCUAGGACGCCGCUCUUUCACAGCGGUAGCACGGGUUCGAAUCCCGUUGGGGGCA